AUGCGUGUGCACAUGUGCCUGUGUCCAUGUUCCCAUGUCUGUCCACACAGACGACACUGUGCAGUUGUGUCCAAGCCCUUUCAUUGCCUCAUAGGAUCACAGAACAGUUUGGGUUGGGANNNNNNNNNNNNNNNNNNNNCCCUCAAUUUUCUUUCUUUUAAUGGCAGCUCUGCUGGUCUCAGCAUCCUUGGUGAGGGAAGGCCACAGCCAUCCAUGCCACCUCUCUUGGCACCCAGAAACCAGGGCUCUGCUGCCAUGGGGAGGCCAACACAGAGAUGUCGGAGACAAGUGGUGUCUUGGACGCGGCUUGAAGUCACAGGUGACUCUGAGGAUGAUCAGCAAUAAUGCAGCCAAAUGACUCUUCCGUUGUAGAUCCCUUGAAGUCAAUGUUGUUACCCCAACAUAAAAUUUAACCCAGGACACUUCCUGCACAUUCCUGGGCAGCACUUAUCGGAACACGGUGAGAUUCUCAUCUCCUCUGCUUCAAGUCUUACUGUCUGUAUGCAGCACAUCUGCACACAGGAAAAUUAAACUCACAGCUGUCAAAGCUGUUGCAGAUCCCCUUCUCUCUUGCUUGCAUCAGGGAUGACCAUAGCCUGUUGCAUCUCACUCCCUCCCAUUUCAAUUAGAAACACGUACGCAUUUUCCUUGGGAUUUUAUAAAACUUCCAUUGCAGGUCUCAUGGUAAGUCAGGUCAGUCAAAAGCAGGGACAAACUCGGGACACAGGGAGGGACUGCAGCAGGGUUCACAUGUUCUGGAUUCUAAUCUUGUCCUGCCACACGUAUGAGUCACCCUCGUUAUUUCCACCAGCAAAAUGGUAAGAACAAGGGAGCCCUUUUUUUCUGCAGCCUAGUGAGGUCUGCAGAAAAAAUCAUUGGUCGCUGUUGAGGUUCAAUCUGAAAUUCUGCCACUGAAAACCAUUUUGUGAAGAACUGUAUUUGCAGGCUCUCCCUUUAAGCUGCAGGCAUGUGACCUGCAUGCAGGUAGUGUGUGCCACUUCCUUGGGAUCAGCACACUGCUACUCUGCUUCCUAGAGGCAAGUCCCUCUUCCUCUUCUUGCAGCGUGUAUAAAUGUGCCAUUCGAAAAGUUAUGAGCUUUUUAUUGUCACUUGUGGAGUGAGAUAUUGAACCAUCGAAGUGCUUAUUCAUUUCUGUUUAUCUGAUUGUCGUAAUGUUUCUAAACUGCCAGUUGAAGGUAAGAGAUAAACUCCAGCCAGCCUCAGACUUAAAGGCGCCUUUGACGUAGCUAGGUUUUUUCAUUAGAGGAUGAUAUAUUAUUUAUUGACCCACACAGGGUCACCUGGAAAUACUUCAUGCAGGGAAUCAAAAGGGAAGAAGAGUAAA
rnacentral:lncRNA from 1 species